rnacentral:rRNA from 1 species
GACGAACGCUGGCGGCGUGCCUAAUACAUGCAAGUAGAACGCUGAAGGAGGAGCUUGCUUCUCCGGAUGAGUUGCGAACGGGUGAGUAACGCGUAGGUAACCUGCCUGGUAGCGGGGGAUAACUAUUGGAAACGAUAGCUAAUACCGCAUAAGGGUAGAUGUUGCAUGACAUUUGCUUAAAAGGUGCAAUUGCAUCACUACCAGAUGGACCUGCGUUGUAUUAGCUAGUUGGUGAGGUAACGGCUCACCAAGGCGACGAUACAUAGCCGACCUGAGAGGGUGAUCGGCCACACUGGGACUGAGACACGGCCCAGACUCCUACGGGAGGCAGCAGUAGGGAAUCUUCGGCAAUGGACGGAAGUCUGACCGAGCAACGCCGCGUGAGUGAAGAAGGUUGUCGGAUCGUAAAGCUCUGUUGUAAGAGAAGAACGAGUGUGAGAGUGGAAAGUUCACACUGUGACGGUAUCUUACCAGAAAGGGACGGCUAACUACGUG